UACGUAGGGUGCGAGCGUUAAUCGGAAUUACUGGGCGUAAAGCGUGCGCAGGCGGUUCGCUAAGACCGAUGUGAAAUCCCCGGGCUUAACCUGGGAACUGCAUUUGUGACUGCACAGCUGGAGUGCGGCAGAGGGGGAUGGAAUUCCGCGUGUAGCAGUGAAAUGCGUAGAUAUGCGGAGGAACACCGAUGGCGAAGGCAAUCCCCUGGGCCUGCACUGACGCUCAUGCACGAAAGCGUGGGGAGCAAACAGG
rnacentral:rRNA from 1 species